GAUGAACGCUGGCGGCGUGCCUAAUACAUGCAAGUCGAGCGAACAGACGAGGAGCUUGCUCCUCUGACGUUAGCGGCGGACGGGUGAGUAACACGUGGAUAACCUACCUAUAAGACUGGGAUAACUUCGGGAAACCGGAGCUAAUACCGGAUAACAUGUUGAACCGCAUGGUUCAACAGUGAAAGACGGGCUUGCUGUCACUUAUAGAUGGAUCCGCGCCGCAUUAGCUAGUUGGUAAGGUAACGGCUUACCAAGGCAACGAUGCGUAGCCGACCUGAGAGGGUGAUCGGCCACACUGGAACUGAGACACGGUCCAGACUCCUACGGGAGGCAGCAGUAGGGAAUCUUCCGCAAUGGGCGAAAGCCUGACGGAGCAACGCCGCGUGAGUGAAGAAGGUCUUCGGAUCGUAAAACUCUGUUAUUAGGGAAGAACAAAUGUGUAAGUAACUAUGCACGUCUUGACGGUACCUAAUCAGAAAGCCACGGCUAACUACGUG
rnacentral:rRNA from 1 species